rnacentral:rRNA from 1 species
UACAGAGGCGGCAAGCGUUGUUCGGAAUUAUUGGGCGUAAAGAGCACGUAGGCGGCUGUGUAAGUCGGUUGUGAAAGCCUUCCGCUUAACGGAAGAACGGCAUCCGAUACUGCAUAGCUCGAGUGCGGGAGGGGAGAGUGGAACUUCUGGUGGAGCGGUGAAAUGCGUAGAUAUCAGAAGGAACACCGGCGGCGAAGGCGGCUCUCUGGUCCACAACUGACGCUGAGGCGCGAAAGCUAGGGGAGCAAAC